UACGUAGGUGGCGAGCGUUGUCCGGAUUUAUUGGGCGUAAAGCGCACGUAGGUGGUCUGUUAUGUCAGAUGUGAAAGCCCUCGGCUUAACUGAGGAAGUGCACCUGAAACUGGCAGGCUUGAGUACGAAAGAGGGUCGCGGAAUUCCCGGUGUAGAGGUGAAAUUCGUAGAUAUCGGGAGGAACACCGGUGGCGAAGGCGGCGACCUGGUUCGAUACUGACACUGAGGUGCGAAAGCGUGGGGAGCAAACAGG
rnacentral:rRNA from 1 species